rnacentral:rRNA from 1 species
UCGUUAACGAACGAGACCUCGACCUGCUAAAUAGUAUGACGAAUCCUGGAUUCGGACGUGCUUCUUAGAGGGACUAUCGGUGUGUAGCCGAUGGAAGUUCGAGGCAAUAACAGGUCUGUGAUGCCCUUAGAUGUUCUGGGCCGCACGCGCGCUACACUGAUACGUUCAUCGAGCUUACAACCUUGACUGAGAGGUCUGGGUAAUCUUUAAAAUCGUAUCGUGCUGGGGAUAGAUUAUUGUAAUUUUUAAUCUUCAACGAGGAAUUCCUAGUAAACGCGAGUCAUCAGCUCGCAUUGAUUACGUCCCUGCCCUUUGUACACACCGCCCGUCGCUAAUACCGAUUGAAUGGAUAA